rnacentral:rRNA from 1 species
CAGCCGCCGCGGUAAUACGUAGGUCCCGAGCGUUGUCCGGAUUUAUUGGGCGUAAAGCGAGCGCAGGCGGUUAGAUAAGUCUGAAGUUAAAGGCUGUGGCUUAACCAUAGUACGCCUUGGAAGCUGUUUAACUUGAGUGCAGAAGGGGAGAGUGGAAUUCCAUGUGUAGCGGUGAAAUGCGUAGAUAUAUGGAGGAACACCGGUGGCGAAAGCGGCUCUCUGGUCUGUAACUGACGCUGAGGCUCGAAAGCGUGGGGAGCAAACAGGAUUAGAUACCCGCGUAGUCCCUGUCUCUUAUACA